AAACCAUUUUUCCCCCUUAGUAUGGGCGACAGAAAAGGGAAUACGAGGAGCAAUAGAUAUAGUACCGCAAGGGAAAGCUGAAAGAGAAAUGAAAUAACCCAGCAAAGCCAAUAAAAGCAGAGAUAUAACCUCGUACCUUUUGCAUCAUGAUUUAGCUAGUAAAGUUUAAGCGAAGAGCACUUUAGUUUAAAACCCCGAAACUAGAUGAGCUACUCCGAGGCAGCCUUAAAAUAGGGCAAACCCGUCUCUGUGGCAAAAGAGUGGGAAGAACUCCGAGUAGAGGUGACAAACCUACCGAAUCUAGUUAUAGCUGGUUGCCUGACAAUUGGAUAGAAGUUCAGCCUCACGGCUUCUUCCCUCACUACCUUUAUACCUAAAGACAAUUAAAGAAACCGCGAGAGUUAAUCAAAGGAGGUACAGCUCCUUUGAUAAAAGACACAACUUUUUGAGUAGGGUAAAGAUCAUAAUUUAUUAAGGCUAAAUGUCCUGGUGGGCCUAAAAGCAGCCAUCCACUCAGAAAGCGUUAAAGCUCAAACAUACCCGCCUCCCCUCUUAUAACGAUAAUUUUAUCUUAACCCCCUAAUACAUAUCAGGCCGUCCCAUGCCCCCAUGGGAGCGACUAUGCUAAAAUGAGUAAUAAGAGAGCGUGACUCUCUCCCCGCACACGUGUAUCUCGGAACGGACCCACCACCGAGAAUUAACGGCCCCAAUCAAAGAGGGUAAUGAGUAAUGAUAAUAGAAGACAAGAAAAACACUCAAUCUCCAACCGUUAACCCCACACUGGUGUGCCUUAUUGGAAAGACUAAAAGAAAAAGAAGGAACUCGGCAAACACAUCAAGCCUCGCCUGUUUACCAAAAACAUCGCCUCUUGCAAAAUUAAUGAAUAAGAGGUCCCGCCUGCCCUGUGACAACUAUGUUUAACGGCCGCGGUAUUUUGACCGUGCGAAGGUAGCGCAAUCACUUGUCCUUUAAAUGGGGACCUGUAUGAAUGGCACGACGAGGGCUUAACUGUCUCCUUUUUCAGGUCAAUGAAAUUGAUCUCCCCGUGCAGAAGCGGGGAUAACAACAUAAGACGAGAAGACCCUAUGGAGCUUUAGACACUAAAGCAGACCACGUUAAACACCCCUGUAUAAAGGAUUAAACUAUAUGGCCCCUGCCCUACUGUCUUUGGUUGGGGCGACCGCGGGGGAAUACAAAGCCCCCAUGUGGAACGGGAAUACCCUUCCUACAACUAAGAGUUUCCACUCUAACGACCAGAAUAUCUGACCUAUACGAUCCGGCAAAGCCGAUCAACGGACCAAGUUACCCUAGGGAUAACAGCGCAAUCCCCUUUUAGAGCCCAUAUCGACAAGGGGGUUUACGACCUCGAUGUUGGAUCAGGACAUCCUAAUGGUGCAGCCGCUAUUAAGGGUUCGUUUGUUCAACGAUUAAAGUCCUACGUGAUCUGAGUUCAGACCGGAGUAAUCCAGGUCAGUUUCUAUCUAUGUAAUGACCUUUUCUAGUACGAAAGGACCGAAAAGAGGAGGCCUCUACCCCAGGCACGCCUCACCUCCAACUAAUGAAAACAACUAAAAUAGUAAAGGAGGC
rnacentral:rRNA from 1 species